rnacentral:rRNA from 1 species
UACGAAGGGUGCAAGCGUUAAUCGGAAUUACUGGGCGUAAAGCGUGCGUAGGCGGUUUCUUAAGUCUGCUGUGAAAGCCCUGGGCUCAACCUGGGAAUGGCGGUGGAUACUGAGAAGCUGGAGUACGGUAGAGGAAGGUGGAAUUCCUGGUGUAGCAGUGAAAUGCGUAGAUAUCAGGAGGAACACCUAUGGCGAAGGCAGGUCACUGGGCCGCAACUGACGCUGAGGAGCGAAAGCAUGGGGAGCGAACAGG